CCAAGGCUCAGAGCUCACCUUGAUCAGAAGUUCGUGGAUAUUUGGCAGUCUAGAGUCGUGAAACCAGGCAGGAUAAUCUCCAAUAUGCAUCCACAAGAGCUGAAGAAUCUAUAGAAACAUCUGCAAAAGGAGCUGAAGACACCACUAAGCUUUCUGCAGCUACUAAUAACUGGGACCAGGGAAUGCAACCUGGGGUCUAUCUUGUAUAAUCAAAAAGCUGCAGAUUCUGGAAUAGAAGCAACGUUGGAAAUAUUCAGCGGCAAUGAUCAAACCAGCAACUACGAUGAAGACGUCAUUUCUCAGCAGCUCUGGUUACACAGGUCAAUAAACGCAGGAUUUCAGGAACCAUCUUCAAAGUACAUGGAACGAGGGUUUCCAUAAAGCUGUAAUUCGGGACAACUUUUCCUUGAUUGUCACACAGCUUCAGAUAUCGCCAGUGUUCUACAGACUUCUACGGGAAAAGGGGAUUCUAUCUGACCAACAAAUCCGAAUAAUACAGAGGGAAGGCAGCCAAGAGUAUAAAGUUGCCAAAUUGCUCUCGCUGUUGGAGGCUGAAGGACAGUGGGUCUUGGAGCCAUUCUCUGAGGUGCUAAAAGAGACGGGCUAUGUUGAAUUGGCUAAAGCCUUAAAUAAUGCAGCAUUAACAAGGAGCCUAGAGAAACGGGAUAAUGGUGGUAAGAGAGACAAGCUUUGGAAACAAGUACAAACACUUGAACAAGAGCUACAGAAGGGCUACAUGGAGGAGGCACUUACUCUCAAAAGAGCCCUGGGAGACAUGAAGAGAGAGUAUUUACUACGGUUACAGAAUUUGGAAAAUGAGUUGGCCUUCAUGGAAAGGGAGAGAGAUGUUGCCAGAAAAGAACAAAAGGUGGCACUGCUGAAGAAAGAAUCACUUCUGAAGGAGAACAAGGAACUUCUGAAAAUAUUAAGACACUUGCGCCAAUCCUUAGAACAUCAUGAAAGCAAAUGGAAUGGUGCAGCCUCGACUCAUCAGACUUUGUUAUAUAACAAUCCUACUAGACAGAAGUGGAAUUAAUUUCAUUUCAUCCACUACAGUUUAAUCUUUAGUUGUUUUGUUCUUUUCAAAUGGAACUACUGUUUGUGAUUUUCUUUUCCAUCACAAAUUCUUAUUUUGUCAUUGAAAACAGAAAAGGCUGGAAAAUCUCAGCAGACCAUGUGGCGUCCAUGGGAAGAUAAUGGUUGAGGCUGAAGAAACUCCUUCGGAAUACUGAUGGUGUCUUGAAGUUGAACCACUAUUGUUUCUCUUUCCAUGUAUGACGCCUGACCUGUCACAAAGUCAUGGUACUACACAGCAUGGUAAAAAGGACCUUUGGUCCAUUUCAACCAUUCUAACCAAGUUAUCUAACUAAGCUAGUCCCAUUUGUCUACAUUUGGCCCUUAUCACUCUAAACCAGGGGUUGCCGACUUCUUUUAUACCAUGAACCAAUACCUUUCAGCAAGGGGUCAGUGGAUCCCAGAUUGGAAACCUCUGCUCUAAGCCUUUCCUACCUACAAAACACUUUUCCAGCAUUUUCAGAUUUGCAACAUCUACAGGUUUUUUUUUGGUUUUCACAUCUUGCACCUGCUGAUUAAUAUCCAGUCGCCAUGAUAUUUUGUACCCCUUUGAAGGAAUUUCAGAAGCAUUUCAUCUUACAAAAUGUUCUAGUAAUUAGAAUGCCUCAUUUUGUUAUUCUUCUGUAGUUGAAAUACAUCUCUGCAAAUACAAUAGCAGUACAUAAGUUAUAUUACUGUAGUAUACUGAGAGGCUACACUACUUCAGUAUUGUAGUAUACUGCAGAAGUUAUACUCAGCCUGUAUUCUACAAUACUGCAGUUUUUCCUGAUGAAGAGCAAUCCAUACUAAAUGGUUUUUGGUGAAAAGUGACUCUGAUGUUGCUUACAGGAAUAAUGCAGUCUGUGCAAGGUUUCUUCCCAAUUCUAUUAAUGUUAUGUGAGGUAAUGGGGAAAUUUUAAAUAAACACCAACAACACAGCUAAAACCAGUUCGUCUCUGAUUAUUUUACUUUGGAAAUAACAUGGAUGGUAAAUUAUUUGCAUCCAAGACCAAUGGAAUUAAUGCCUCUGAACUCUGUUUGCAAUACUUCAGACAGUCUUG